CGGCCGGCGGGGGCGGGAAUUCGAUUCUUGGUCAUUAGAAGAAGUAAAAGUCGUAACAAGGUUUCCGAAGGGGAACCUGCUGAAAGAUCAUUAUCGAAUCUGAAAGGGGGUUGUUGCUUGGCCUUUAGGGGCAUGUGCCACGCCUCUGCUCUAUUUCUCCUUCAACCACUGUGCACCCUUUGUAGGCUGGAGAAAUCUGGUCUAUGUUUUUUUAUACCACACCUAAACAAGUAUUAGAAUGUCAUACUUCUCAGUACACUCGAGAGGGGUGGAAAAAAAAUUAUACAACUUUCAACAACGGAUCUCUUGGCUCUCGCAUCGAUGAAGAACGCAAGCGAAAUGCGAUAAGUAAUGUGAAUUGCAGAAUUUGAGUGAAUCACUCAAAUCUUUGAACGCACCUUGCGCUCCUUGGUAUUCCGAGGAGCAUGCCUGUUUGAGUGUCAUUAAAUUCUCCACCCCCCCGACGGAUUUGUUUCUGACGUGGGGCUUGGAUGUGAGGGUGUGCUGGACUCCAUUAGGAGGUCAGCCUCCCUUUGAAUGCAUUAGCGGAUUUUACCAUCGUGGAUAGGCUUCGGACUGAAAAUUAUCUAUGCCGGUCGCCGUGAAGCGGUAAUCUGCUCAUAACCGUCUUUGGACAAUUUUUUGACCAUUUGACCUCAAAUCAGGUAGGACUACCCGCUGAACUUAAGCAUAUCAAUAAGCGGAGGAAAAGAAACUAACAAGGAUUCCCCUUGUAACUGCGAGUGAAGCGGGAAAAGCUCAAAUUUAAAAUCUGGCGGUUCUUGUAGCCGUCCGAGUUGAAAUUUAAAGAAGUGUUAUCCGCGCAAGACCGUGUACAACUCCCCGAAAACACAAGUGAAUUCGCCGCCGCGCUGGAGCCACACCCUUGGGGAAGGCUCCCAACCCCCU
rnacentral:rRNA from 1 species